rnacentral:lncRNA from 1 species
GUUUGUUUAUUUGAGAUGGAGUCUCACUCUGUUGCCCAGGCUGGAGUGUGGUGGCUCAAUCUUGGCUCAUUGCAACCUCCACCUCCUGGGUUCAAGCGAUUCUCCUGUCUCAGCCUCCCACGUAACUGGGAUUACAAGCAAGCACCACCAUGCCCAGCUAAUUUUUGUAUUUUUUAGUAGAGACGGGGUUUCACCAUGUUGGCCAGGCUAGUCUCAAACUCCUGACCUCAAGUGACCUGCCUGCCUCAGCCUCC